UGUCUGCUGUGUCCCAUAUAAGAAAAAACCAAAUACAAAAGAAUGUUCCAUUUAAUGUAUGUUUGUUUUUCAGGUUACUAUUGUGUAUUAUUAGUAUCAUCUUAACUCUUGUGGGUUGUGAUGAGAUCUGCCAUUUAUGUGUAUUUUAGUUUGUGUUUUGAUAGGGUAUUAGGUAUGCUUAGGGGUGCCUUCUCGCCAUGCCCUGUGGCUGGGGGGAUUGGUGCCCUGAAGCUACAUAAACACCCUAUACCCCUCCGAAGUGGCAAGGGGAGUUAGGGGACAAGAUAUAUCAGAUGGCUUCUUCUGCUAUGAAGUCCACGUCCUGCCAUUCCGAGUGAAGAAGGAAAAAAACUACAAUAUCACCCAAUGCUUCCGAUGCUACGACUACUCUCACUAAACCAACAAGUGCCAACAGACUAUCCAGAAAUGCAGCAUUUGCGCCAAAGACCACCACUGUUCGAUCUGCACUUCGAAAGAACCACACUACCUGCUCUGCAACUGCAAACAUGUCACAAUAUCCCAUCAAUGUCCAAGCAGACAAGAAGUUAUCAAAAACCUGGAGACCUAGGAGAAAUCCAAAUCUUCCUCUACCUUUGCAGCAGGCACCAGCUCCAGCACUUCAGCUAUCACCUCAACCUCAAUAUUCAACAUCCAAGCAGCUACUUUCCCGAAGCUUCAGGGAGGAGGAGCUAUCACCACCACACACCAGCAACAUCCUGUUACUGCCUCUACUAGCCAAUGGGGACCCAGAUCCCAGUCACCCGGCCACUCAUCGAGCCAGACACCGCCGCCUCCACCCCAUCCCGGCCAAUCACUGUGUAGCACAGUAAAAGCUUUGAUAUCGACGGCCAGAAUGACUGCUGGCACUAACCCCCGAGAAUUCGUGAGAAUUCUGAAAAUUCUUUACAAGGCGAAUGGUCUCCCUGCAAUAUUCCUGAAGAAGUCUUCAACGCUCCAGGUUCAACUCCAGCAACUGACCCUUUAGAGGAUGCCGACUCUUCACCUGACGACCAUUCUGCCACUUCAAUGCAGACUUCAGAUCUUGUUCUAGUACCUUCAGCUCACAAGACUCUGCCUCCUGAGACCCCCACUUCUGCUACAAUUCCAGUUGCUAACCAUGACAUCACUGUGAACGCGGCCACGCUUUCAGACUUACUGUCAGGUCCUGCUCCACACGUUUCUCCAGCUGUUGCUGACCCUUCACCCGUCCCAGUGGUGAAUUCAGCUGCAAUGGACCCUUGGUGUGACCCUGUAGAGGGUAUAUACUACCAAGUCCCUUCUGCUGCAGUACGUACUACUGCUACUCAACCUUCAAGAACUCAAUCUUCAAGAACUCAACCUUUGCGAUCUACCACCUCUGCUCUUCACUCAUCUGAUGAAUCGGAUGAGGACGUGUCUGUUGGAACACCAUCUCCUACUUCACGGAAAUGUCACUACUCAGCUGCCGAUUUCCGUCACGACACUGCACCAACAACCCCCAUCGAUAGCUCCACAAAGUCAGACCACCAAGACCAAGACCGACAAGCCCAAGAAGAAGACCAAUGAUCAGAGUUUGCUGAAAUCUUCAACAAAAAAGAAGACCACUAAUGUCAUGAUUUAACAUCAACCAUCAACUGCCAGCUGCUUGGGUGCCCGGCCCGUGUGUGUACUGCAAAUGACGCCCCACUCAACCCUACUUCACUCGCCUCAAGUUCAAAUCCUCGGUGGUUGGGCCACCGAUCUUUCAUCUCCCCUCUUCACCUCGUCUCCAGUUCCUCGCUCAAGAUUUCUGCAUCCUCGCCCUGUUCUUCAAACCCCUGCUUGCCAACCAUUUGAACAUUUUCACUUCGCUUCGACACCCAGACAGAGCACUUUGCUUUAGGAGGUCAGACCCCACCCUGAUCCGGUGCACUAUACCGGUAAGAGACGGGAGACCUCUUAAGGAAAGUGCAACCCUCUAGACAAGGCUCUCUUGCACCUAGCACUGCCGGGUGGGUAAACAUAGAGCAGCAACGAUGAUCAUGAGCCACCAUGAUCUACCGAAUCAAGGUAUGAUUUAGAGGGGGACCGGACAUUUACCCGGUCAAAAAUCUCUGAUUUGAUCAGAACAGCAACCAACGUUGCACCACUGGACGUCGUCGUCGACGAUGAAGGACCUCCUCAACUGCUGUUCAGCAAUGCUGAAACAGUACAGUGUCUACUUGACCCCACCAACCUUACUGCCCUCGAUGAGGCGGACGUGUUCCUCACCCCACCACGACACUACCUCGCAGCCAGGACGGUGUUUGUCCGGAGAGUGAGCUCCCUCAUCUCCGGAAAAGCUGCCAUCGACGUCGCCACCAGUUUAACCGAACAGAAUCCUCUCUUGACGGCUGUCUCUGUAAAGUUCACUCCUGUGCAGGACAGUCACCUCUCCACCAUGAAGGUCACCAUCACCUCGCCUGAGGAAGCUACCUCUGCUACCACCAACGGCUUCCGGUGCUUCGGCCUCGCUUGCCCACCCCGACAAAUCAGCAAAGAACACUACUGCCAGCUUCGACAAUGCUUCAAGUGCUAUAGCUAUGAGCACUUUACGAAACAAUGUCCCUCUCAAGACCAACGGUGCAGCAAGUGCGCCGAGAAUCACCACCUCAAACGAUGCACCAACGAGCUCCUCCAAUGCCUUCUCUGCCAAGGUCACCAUACUGCCGUCUCUGCCGAGUGCCCUCGAAGACGUUAGGAAAUACAGAAGAUGACCGACGCCAGGCAAGCCAACACCACUCGCCGUGAACCAUCAACAUUCAACGUGCAAGCCGCCAACUUUCCUCUGUUUCCGGGUGGGGGCGGAGCUUCUGCACAGAAUGCAUCCCAUUGGGGCCCUGGCUCCCAGUUCGCCAACCAAUCAUCAACGCAGCUGUGACAGCCACAACCUCACUCUGGUCAAUCAACAAGCCAGCCUUCACCACACCAGAUGUUGCUCCCCAACAGGAAUCACAGUACCAUAAUGGGACUCAUCCGCACUGCUGAAAGGAUUGCAGACACAAACACCCAAGAAUUCGUACGAAUUCUAAACAUCAUGUACACUGACAAUGGUCUACCAACAUUUACUGUUCCUGAAGAACUGAAGCCAGAUGGUAUAUAAACUGAGCCGAGGGCGUCACGUGUACUCUGGCGAACUCUGCAGGGUAGUGAACAUGGCGUCUAGGAAUGACUGCGACCAGGAAAGGUGUGCUCCCGGAAGUACUGAAAAGUAUCUUAAGGCUCGCAAGACACCAUCUGAGCCUUGUGGGUGUAUAAAGGGUAGUAAACAAUCCCCUGGGAUGGCCAUUAAACGGCUGGAGGUGGAUGGUGUUACGUUUGAAGUCGUACAGUGGUUUGUCUUUGGAAGGAGUUGCUGAGUGAACUUCGAGGCCAGUAGAGGAGGAUUCAGUGGAUGGAACUCCAAGGCUAUUGAAGAAAUACUGAGCUCUGUGGAGCAGCAGUCCCUAUAGUGAGGAGUUGGACCUCAAGCUGUGAGAGGAGAAGCAGUGGAGUAGAGUUUACAUGUUUUUGUGAUAACAGUGGUGAAGCACCUUUGUUGAUCAAGGAAGACUUCAUGGUGUAGCAGCCUGGAAGAGCUGCGGAGGAUCCUGGUAGAUAAACCCAGAAGAACCUGAAGAGAUCAGAAUAGUGAACUUCCAGAUGUGGAAGGGAAGUUCUGGUUGACUAAUUGUAGGGAGUUGGUAGAGUGUUUAGUUGUCAUUAGCGUGCAAGACGCAGUAAAAGGUGAAUGAUUGAUUACCAUUUUUGUGCCAAGGAGUACUUAUACUUAAGUAUAGAGUUACAUCCGUAGGUUGGAUUACCUGCAGAGACAUACAUGUGUGUGUUCUAGGACUGAUAGGAUGUUUGAUUGAACAUUGUUGUACAUAAAGGAAUAUUUAUGUUAUUAUAGCCAUAGGCUGGAUUGUCUGUAAAUAUUUAUAUGUUCCAGAGUUGGUAGAGCCAUAUAUUGUACUGCAUGUUUUACCCGUUUGGUGAGGCUGAUAGUGCAACAUUGUGUUACAAGACUUGACCUACUUGAUGAGGAUGGUAGUAUUAGAUGGUGAGUCAGGAGUUAGGAUACCACUUGAUGAGCAGAUGAUAGUCCUGAUGGUAUUGGAGAGCGACCUGACUACAGUAGUAUAGUGUGUUAAGAGAUAUAUAUAUUAUUGUACGUGUAUAUGUAUUGUCCUUGUGCCUUGUCCAGUAAAUGUAUUU
rnacentral:lncRNA from 1 species